UCUGCCUGCCCCACCCUGCUGUCAGGAGUCCCAGCCACCAGGCCUGUCUCUGUCCCUGGGCCUUCGUGGGUGGUAAGUGUCUUUCUAAAGCCACCCACUGUGUCACUUCGGGGGGGGGGAGAGACUGGCUGAAGACCCUCUUCUGUAUUUGGCGGUUCUUACUGCCUGCUUUCAGACAAGGCACUGGCCACGUGGGCCACCUCCACAGCUGGACCCACGUCCCCCCGUUCUGAGCUGGCUGCUUAGGGAACAAGUACGAGCUGGGGAGGGGGACUUAGCCCCUUCCCUCCUGACAUCAGCACCAAGGCCAAGGUCAAAGGGUGAGUGGACACUUCACUCCAGCAAGUCCCAGCCUCCUCACCUGACACCCUGCAACAGAGACAGGAACCCCAAGCGGCUAAAGCACUGGGGGACGCCCAGACUGCGCCUUCCCUGGACCAAGUCCUCCAGGAGCGGGAUGAAGCCAUUGCCAAGAAGCAGGCCCUGCAGGUCGAGCUGGACUUGUGCAAGGCCAGGCUACGUGCAGUGGAGGCCCAGCUGCUGGAGGUGCUGGAGGACAAACUGAGGCUGAAACAGGAGGUGGAGGCCUGGGAGGAUGACAUGCAGCAGCUGGUGAGGCAGCAGGUCCAGAGGCAGCUACAGUGCGAGUCCAGGAGCGCCCAUGAAGACCCCAAAACGGCCAGGAAGCCUUGGACUGGCCUCUCCCUGGGCCAGUGGGGGCCCUGGCGGUGACAGAGCUGGGCAGGAAACCCCUGGGAAUUCGGUCUUUAUUCAUUAAAACUGUAAUCAACUCCA